GACGAACGCUGGCGGCGUGCUUAACACAUGCAAGUCGAACGGUGAAGCGGGUGCUUGCACUCGUGGAUCAGUGGCGAACGGGUGAGUAACACGUGAGUAACCUGCCCUCCACUCUGGGAUAAGCGCUGGAAACGGCGUCUAAUACUGGAUACGACCGACCCUCGCAUGGGGUGUUGGUGGAAAGAUUUAUCGGUGGUGGAUGGACUCGCGGCCUAUCAGCUUGUUGGUGGGGUAAUGGCCUACCAAGGCGACGACGGGUAGCCGGCCUGAGAGGGCGACCGGCCACACUGGGACUGAGACACGGCCCAGACUCCUACGGGAGGCAGCAGUGGGGAAUAUUGCACAAUGGGCGAAAGCCUGAUGCAGCGACGCCGCGUGAGGGAUGACGGCCUUCGGGUUGUAAACCUCUUUCAGCAGGGAAGAAGC
rnacentral:rRNA from 1 species